GCUGGGUGUGGUGGUGCAUGCCUAUGAUUCUAGAUAUCUGGGAGGCUGAGGCCAGAGGAUUGCAAGUUGGAGGCCAGCGUGGGCAACUUAGCAAGAUCCUGUCUCAA
rnacentral:sRNA from 1 species